rnacentral:tRNA from 1 species
GCGGGGGUCGCCAAGCGGCUAAGGCAAUCGGCUGCAACAUCCGGGAUGAUGAGCUAACGCUAUGACAUGUAGAUCCCGAUCAUCGGGGGUUCGAGUCCCCCCCCUCGCU